CCUACGGGGGGCAGCAGUGAGGAAUAUUGGUCAAUGGCCGGAAGGCUGAACCAGCCAUGCCGCGUGAAGGACAGGGACCUAGGGGCGUUAAACUUCUUUUGUGCGGGAGCAAGAAUGGUCACGUGGGGCCAGACGAGAGUACCGUACGAAGAAGCAGCGGCUAACGCCGGGCCAGCAGCCGCGGUAAUACGGGGGAUGCAAGCGUUAUCCGGAUUUCGUGGGGUUCAAGGGGGCGUAGGCUGUGAGGUAAGGCAGCGGUGAAAGGCCCCCGCUCAACGGGGUGAAGUGCCAUUGAUACUGCCUUGCUGGACUGCGGAUGCCGUGGGCGGAAUGUGUGGUGUAGCGG
rnacentral:rRNA from 1 species